CAGGAGCCCGUGCUCUCCGAGGUGCGCCCUGCCCCCACCCCCGCAGGCAGAGAUGCUGGCGUGACCCAGAGGGGCUGCCCUGCCCGCUGGUGCAGCAGGACCAGGAGAAACGUCCCUGAGGCCUCGUGUUCUGCACUCAGAAGUCCCAGCUUUCCCCGUCUGCUGUAUGUGUAUGGAUGUGGGAAUUGGACUGUGAAGAAGGCUGAGCGCCGAAGAAUUGAUGCUUUUGAACUGUGGUGUUGGAGAAGACUCUUGAGAGUCCCUUGGACUGCAAGGAGAUCCAACCAGUCCAUUCUGAAGAUUAGCCCUCGGAUUUCUUUGGAAGGAAUGAUGCUAAAGCUGAAACUCCAGUACUUUGGCCACCUCAUGCGAAGAGCUGACUCAUUGGAAAAGACUCUGAUGCUGGGAGGGAUUGGGGGCAGGAGGAGAAGGGGACGACAGAGGAUGAGAUGGCUGGAUGGCAUCACUGACUCAAUGGACGUGAAUCUGAGUGAACUCUGGGAGCUGGUGAUGGGCAGGGAGGCCUGGUGUGCUGCGAUUCAUGGGGUCACAAGGAGUUGGACACGACUGAGCGACUGAACUGAACUGAACUGAUGAUCUGUAUCUAAAUCUCCAUAUCCAAGAGUUAUUUGAUAUUUCCACCUGGAUGCCUAAGAGUCAUUUCAGUUUGACCAGGCCAAGCAGAAUUCUUGAGUAAUUUUCUACUUCUUUCCCCUGGCACUCACUAUCUUACUUUUAGAGUAACACUUAUUUUGCUUAUUUCUCUGUCCUCCCUGAAACCAGAAAGCUCUAUUAUCUAUUUCUGUUGUUCAACACUGUAUCACAGUGCCUGGUGCACAGUGGGGCUUAACUGGCUAGUGGAAGUCUUUGGCACGUGUCAUAUGCAGGGGUUCUGACUCCUGAGUGAAAGGAAGCUUCAUAUGCCUGUGGGUAUACACAUUUAAGUUAGAUCAUCAUAAGGACUAUUUCCUCAAUUUAGACCCACCUGGUCUUGUUUUUUUGGUUUCUAUUUAGAGCAAAUGAGUGUUUUUUGACUGUGUUCAUCGUCACCAGUUUCUAUCAUGCUCCUCUCAGAAUAUGGGGAGAUAAGGGGACCCCAAAAGGAUCACCCACCUAUGCUUUGCUGCUGCUGCUGCUAAGUCGCAUCAGUCGUGUCCGACUUUGUGCGACCCCACAGACGGCAGCCCACCAGGCUCCUCCGUCC
ensembl:lncRNA